UACGUAGGGUGCAGGCGUUAAUCGGAAUUACUGGGCGUAAAGCGUGCGCAGGCGGUUUGCUAAGACAGGUGUGAAGUCCCCGGGCUUAACCUGGGAACUGCGCUUGUUACUGGCAGGCUUGAGUGUGGCAGAGGGGGGUGGAAUUCCACGUGUAGCAGUGAAAUGCGUAGAGAUGUGGAGGAACACCGAUGGCGAAGGCAGCCCCCUGGGCUAACACUGACGCUCAUGCACGAAAGCGUGGGGAGCAAACAGG
rnacentral:rRNA from 1 species